UACAGAGGGUGCAAGCGUUGUUCGGAAUUAUUGGGCGUAAAGCGCGUGUAGGCGGCUUGGCAAGUCGGGUGUGAAAGCCCUCAGCUCAACUGAGGAAGUGCGCCCGAAACUGCUGAGCUUGAGUACCGGAGAGGAUGGUGGAAUUCCCGAAGUAGAGGUGAAAUUCGUAGAUAUCGGGAGGAACACCGGUGGCGAAGGCGGCACUCUGGGCUGGAACUGACGCUGAGGAGCGAAAGCGUGGGUAGCAAACAGG
rnacentral:rRNA from 1 species